UCUCUCUCACUCUAACGACAACAGCAAACUAAUUUCUUCUUCUACUAUUUUCUUUUCUUUCCCUUUUUUUUUAAACAAAGUGAAGGGUUGCGAGAAUGUAAUAGUCGGGUGAAGUAACGAUGGAUGUGGUGGUUAUUGGUUGUUGACCGGUUGUGGCUCACAGUGAUCAGUAAGUCGGAGGUAGUGCGGUGGAGGUUGAAUGGUAGUUGACGGUGUUAGAGAAUGACGGGGUGGACUGGUGAUGGAGAGAUGGUGAUGGAGAGAUGGUGACAGAACUGUGUUGACCGGAACAGUGGUGGUGCGGCUGUGACCGACGUUGAUGAUCGGAAGAACGGGUUCAAUGUGGUUCGGUUUAGUAUGGGUUGGUAGUAGAUCUAUUAGAGCCGAUACAAAUUCAAAACAUUUCAAGACUAAACGGCAACAAGAAACUUGAUGGUUUAGUCAGCGGUGGUUUUGGUCGAAGUCAGUUCACCGGAUACGCGGCGGCGCCGGAAUAACUUGCCGGAACCCUAAAUGAUGGCCGGAAGUUAGCCGGAGACGGAAUGAUUCAAAACAGAAAAUGUAUAUGUAUUUAAUUUGUUAUUAUAUACGCUGAUAAAUCCGUUUUCUACCCCUUUCUUUUUAAAAAAAUAAUAAAUACACUGGUCGGACGAAACCGCCGGAGUAACGACCCCGGAAAACGGUGACUUACCGGCGAAUUUACUAAAUACGCCGGAAGACUUGAACUCGCGUUCAAGAUUUAAAAUCGCCGGAAAUUAAUUUCGCCGGAAACUUGCCGGAAAACCCAAAUUCGCCGGAACUUUCAAUAAAAUCGCUGUAUUCAAAAUAAAAUCGCUGUAUUAAAAAAAAAAUCGCCCAGAAACUUCAAAAAACUCGACUAAAACCAUCUGAUUUGAGCUGAAACCUCUAAAAAUGAUAUGAAAUGACUAUGAAUCUUUCAAUUAAUGCUAGUCUCAGCUCUCAAUCAGCAAACAAAUACUUUAAACCUUUUGAAGACAAGAUUUUUGAAGAAA
rnacentral:lncRNA from 1 species